rnacentral:rRNA from 1 species
AUUGAACGCUGGCGGAAUGCUUUACACAUGCAAGUCGAACGGCAGCACGGGGCAACCUGGUGGCGAGUGGCGAACGGGUGAGUAAUAUAUCGGAACGUGCCCAAUCGUGGGGGAUAACGUAGCGAAAGUUACGCUAAUACCGCAUACGAUCUACGGAUGAAAGCGGGGGAUCGCAAGACCUCGCGCGAAUGGAGCGGCCGAUAUCAGAUUAGGUAGUUGGUGGGGUAAAGGCUCACCAAGCCAACGAUCUGUAGCUGGUCUGAGAGGAUGGCCAGCCACACUGGAACUGAGACACGGUCCAGACUCCUACGGGAGGCAGCAGUGAGGAAUCUUGCGCAAUGGGGGAAACCCUGACGCAGCAACGCCGCGUGAGUGAGGAAGGCCUUGGGUCGUAAAGCUCUGUCAGAUGGGAGAAAUGGAUGGGGCUAAUAUCGCCCAUCCUUGACGGUACCAUCAGAGGAAGCACCGGCUAACUCCGUGCC